CACCUACCAGCUAUGGGGCCAGGGCUUAGCAUUCCAGAGUUCCCUGCAUUUCCAGCAAUAUUGAAAGGAGCAAAGCCACACCUGCUAUGUUCCUGGCUAACCCUGGACUGGGGGAAGGAGAGAGCUGGACACUUCAGGAGUAUAAGAACCACAGAUAUCUUCAGGGCACUGUCAAUCCUUGACCAAAGGCCUGGACCACUGCUAAGAGUUCCUGAGCACUGGAAUAUGCUGUUCCCCUGCUCCAUCUGACCCUCAGGUGGGCUGGCCAUCUUCAGUGCAAGAGAAAAAGGGGAACUCACCCACGAGAACCCUCUAGAAAA